AAAAAUUUAGUUAAAUCAUAACAUCAGCUUGUCAAGCUGAAAUUAUUAAUAACUAAUAAUUUUUG
rnacentral:tRNA from 1 species